UACGUAGGGGGCGAGCGUUGUCCGGAAUUACUGGGCGUAAAGCGUGCGUAGACGGUUAUGUAAGUCAGAUGUGAAAGCCCCGGGCUUAACCUGGGAAUGGCAUUUGAGACUGCAUAGCUAGGGUGCGGAAGAGGGAAGCGGAAUUUCCGGUGUAGCGGUGAAAUGCGUAGAUAUCGGAAGGAACACCAGUGGCGAAAGCGGCUUCCUGGUCCAGCACCGACGUUCAGGCACGAAAGCGUGGGGAGCAAACAGG
rnacentral:rRNA from 1 species